rnacentral:rRNA from 1 species
AGUGAACGCUGGCGGUAGGCCUAACACAUGCAAGUCGAACGGCAGCACAGUAAGAGCUUGCUCUUACGGGUGGCGAGUGGCGGACGGGUGAGGAAUACAUCGGAAUCUACUUUUUCGUGGGGGAUAACGUAGGGAAACUUACGCUAAUACCGCAUACGACCUACGGGUGAAAGCAGGGGAUCUUCGGACCUUGCGCGAUUGAAUGAGCCGAUGUCGGAUUAGCUAGUUGGCGGGGUAAAGGCCCACCAAGGCGACGAUCCGUAGCUGGUCUGAGAGGAUGAUCAGCCACACUGGAACUGAGACACGGUCCAGUCUCCUACGGGAGGCAGCAGUGGGGAAUAGUGGACAAUGGGCGCAAGCCUGAUCCAGCCAUACCGCGUGGGUGAAGAAGGCCUUCGGGUUGUAAAGCCCUUUUGUUGGGAAAGAAAAGCAGCAGGUUAAUACCCCGCUGUUCUGACGGUACCCAAAGAAUAAGCACCGGCUAACUUCGUG